rnacentral:misc_RNA from 1 species
CACACUCGGGGCGCUUCGGCGCUCCUUAUACACCCACCCUCUGCCUACGUGUACCUCUAUAGCUUCCUCGGCGGGCUCGCCCGCCGCCAGGAACCCACGAAACCCCUUGCAUUAUACGCGAAAACUUCUGAUAACAAACCUAAAUUAUCA